rnacentral:rRNA from 1 species
AUUGAACGCUGGCGGCAUGCCUUACACAUGCAAGUCGAACGGUAACGCGGGGCAACCUGGCGACGAGUGGCGAACGGGUGAGUAAUACAUCGGAACGUGCCCAGUAGUGGGGGAUAGCCCGGCGAAAGCCGGAUUAAUACCGCAUACGACCUACGGGUGAAAGGGGGGGAUCGCAAGACCUCCCGCUAUUGGAGCGGGCGAUGUGAGAUUAGGUAGUUGGUGGGGUAAAAGCCGACCAAACCAACGAUAUGUAGCUGGUCUGAGAGGACGACCGGCCACAAUGGGAGUGAGACACGGUCCAGACUACUGCGGGAGGCAGCAGUGGGGAAUUCUGGACAAGCGGCGCAAGCCUGAUCCAGACAUGCCGCGUACGGGAAAAAAGCCUUCGGGUUGUAAACCGCUUUUGUCAGGGAAGAAAAGCUCUGGGCUAAUACCCCGGGGUGAUGACGGUACCUGAAGAAUAAGCACCGGCUAACUACGUGCCAGCCGCCGCGGUAA